rnacentral:rRNA from 1 species
AGUUAUCUGAACCUUCGGGGAACGAUAACGGCGUCGAGCGGCGGACGGGUGAGUAAUGCCUAGGAAAUUGCCCUGAUGUGGGGGAUAACCAUUGGAAACGAUGGCUAAUACCGCAUGAUGCCUACGGGCCAAAGAGGGGGACCUUCGGGCCUCUCGCGUCAGGAUAUGCCUAGGUGGGAUUAGCUAGUUGGUGAGGUAAGGGCUCACCAAGGCGACGAUCCCUAGCUGGUCUGAGAGGAUGAUCAGCCACACUGGAACUGAGACACGGUCCAGACUCCUACGGGAGGCAGCAGUGGGGAAUAUUGCACAAUGGGCGCAAGCCUGAUGCAGCCAUGCCGCGUGUGUGAAGAAGGCCUUCGGGUUGUAAAGCACUUUCAGUCGUGAGGAAGGUGGUGUAGUUAAUAGCUGCAUUAUUUGACGUUAGCUACAGAAGAAGCACCGGCUAACUCCGUGCCAGCAGCCGCGGUAAUACGGAGGGUGCGAGCGUUAAUCGGAAUUACUGGGCGUAAAGCGCAUGCAGGUGGUUUGUUAAGUCAGAUGUGAAAGCCCGGGGCUCAACCUCGGAAUUGCAUUUGAAACUGGCAGACUAGAGUACUGUAGAGGGGGGUAGAAUUUCAGGUGUAGCGGUGAAAUGCGUAGAGAUCUGAAGGAAUACCGGUGGCGAAGGCGGCCCCCUGGACAGAUACUGACACUCAGAUGCGAAAGCGUGGGGAGCAAACAGGAUUAGAUACCCUGGUAGUCCACGCCGUAAACGAUGUCUACUUGGAGGUUGUGGCCUUGAGCCGUGGCUUUCGGAGCUAACGCGUUAAGUAGACCGCCUGGGGAGUACGGUCGCAAGAUUAAAACUCAAAUGAAUUGACGGGGGCCCGCACAAGCGGUGGAGCAUGUGGUUUAAUUCGAUGCAACGCGAAGAACCUUACCUACUCUUGACAUCCAGAGAACUUUCCAGAGAUGGAUUGGUGCCUUCGGGAACUCUGAGACAGGUGCUGCAUGGCUGUCG